UACGAAGGGGGCUAGCGUUGCUCGGAAUCACUGGGCGUAAAGGGUGCGUAGGCGGGUCUUUUAAGUCAGGGGUGAAAUCCUGGAGCUCAACUCCAGAACUGCCUUUGAUACUGAAGAUCUUGAGUUCGGGAGAGGUGAGUGGAACUGCGAGUGUAGAGGUGAAAUUCGUAGAUAUUCGCAAGGACACCAGUGGCGAAGGCGGCUCACUGGCCCGAUACUGACGCUGAGACGCGAAAGCGUGGGGAGCAAACAGGG
rnacentral:rRNA from 1 species